GGAGUCUGGACCGUGUCUCAGUUCCAAUGUGGCCGUUCAUCCUCUCAGACCGGCUACUGAUCGUCGCCUUGGUAGGCCGUUACCCCACCAACUAGCUAAUCAGACGCAGACCCAUCGCAAAGCGAUAGCUUACAAGUAGAGGCCAUCUUUAAUCAAUCUCCCAUGCGGAAAACUGACAACAUUCGGUAUUAGCACCCCUUUCGGGAUGUUGUCCCCAUCUUUACGGCAGGUUGUCUACGCGUUACUCACCCGUUUGCCACUCGACUCAUCUAAGCAAGCUUAAAAUCGUCUCGUUCGACUUGCAUGUGUUAAGCACGCCGCCAGCGUCGUCCUCGAGCCACGGAGUCAACUACU
rnacentral:rRNA from 1 species